GCUAGGAAGAGGAAGUAAGAGAGGGCGUAAGAGCAGUGGGAAUGAGAACAUAGAGGAAAUCCUAACUUUACUGGUUCUUUACCUCUUUUCUUGAGGUGGAAAUUCAGUUUGACAUUUCUCGAUGACUCUCAUUCCUAUUGUUAUUAGGCGCUCCUUCCUAUUCCUUUUUGUU
rfam:Triticum aestivum genome assembly, contig: Triticum_aestivum_CS42_TGACv1_scaffold_129300_2BL